CUACCCCACACAGUCCUUUGCGAUUUUCCUCUCCCACUUUGGGAGCCAGUGGAUGAAGAGGGUGGAACCAUAGAAUAGAAGGAACCCAGAUACAGAUCACUGUUCAGAGGAGAGCUGCCUGCCAGUCAGGAAGACCCAUUUUGGACUUUAUAAAUGCUCUGACCUUAAAAGGAAUAUUGGAGGCAGGAGGAAACAGAGGAAGCAAGAAGAAUUUCCUGGAAGGUAAUUAUUGUAAUAUAAGCAUACUUCGGAGAUAUUGCAGGUUCCGUUCCAGACCACUGCAACAGUGAAUAUCUCAAUCAACAUCUUCACCAGGAGUAGAUUUUAUCUUAAGAAGCCACUUUCUUUGCUCAUCCAGAAGCUACAACUCCUCAUCAUGAGAUUUCAGCAGUUCAGUUCCAUCUUCAGGCCCUAUUUUUAGUUCUCUUUAGUUCUCUUGCUAUUUCCACGACAUCUGCAAUGACUUCCUCAACUGAAGUCUUGAACCCCUCAAAGUAAUCCAUGAAGGAAGAUGACCACGGCCCCUCUGUUCCCUCGCCUGUGUGCCAAAUGGAUCCACAGCUAGAGACAAGCUCCUUCCCUUUGAACGGUGGGAAGCAGGCCAAGAUGUUUUAAAGACAGAUGGCAUCAGAUGCAGAGAAGCAAGCUGGAACUCGGAGCACAGCUGCCUUAUUUACUUACCUACUGGCUGCAUUUCUGAGAACCAGUUUUAUUCCUGUUCAAAGGAAGCCAGGCAGAGUUGGGAAAAUAUUUUCCUAGCCAGCUCCUUAGCACCACUGUCUGAGGGAAACCAUCUGGCCAAGAUGCCCUUCAACAUCACCGAGAACUACUGCCAUCAGCUAUAUAAUGAAACUAUUUUUAAGCAACAACAACAGCAGCAGAGAAGAGGGACCAACAGGGUCCAAUGCAUCAGAGGGGUCCAAACUGGUUAAUCCAUGUUGUGCCAAACGACAGGACCUUCUUUUUAAAGGCUGAAUAAUAUUCCAUUGUAUACAGAUGCCACAGUUUUUUAAAUCCAUUCCUCCAUCGACACUUGGGUGGUUCCAUAUCUUGACUAUUGUGAAGAAUGCUGCGUGAAAAUAGAAGUGCAGCCUGAGCUUUUGCUGCGAUCUCCAAAAAAUCAUUGCCAG
rnacentral:lncRNA from 1 species